AGCGAACGCUGGCGGCAGGCUUAACACAUGUAAGUCGAGCAGGCACUUUCGGGUGUCAGCGGCGGACGGGUGAGUAACGCGUGGGAACGUGCCCUCUGGUUCGGAAUAACUCAGGGAAACUUGAGCUAAUACCGGAUACGCCCUUUUGGGGAAAGGCUUGCUGCCGGAGGAUCGGCCCGCGUCUGAUUAGCUAGUUGGUGAGGUAACGGCUCACCAAGGCGACGAUCAGUAGCUGGUCUGAGAGGAUGAUCAGCCACACUGGGACUGAGACACGGCCCAGACUCCUACGGGAGGCAGCAGUGGGGAAUAUUGGACAAUGGGCGCAAGCCUGAUCCAGCCAUGCCGCGUGAGUGAUGAAGGCCUUAGGGUUGUAAAGCUCUUUUAUCCGGGACGAUAAUGACGGUACCGGAGGAAUAAGCCCCGGCUAACUUCGUG
rnacentral:rRNA from 1 species